AAGAGACGUUGCCCUUCGGGGUAUACCACCCACCCUUUGUAUAUUAUACCUUUGUUGCUUUGGCGGGCCCGUCCUCGGACCACCGGCUUCUGCUGGUCAGUGCCCGCCAGAGGACCUAAAACUCUGUUUGUUAAUAUUGUCUGAGUACUAUAUAAUAGUUA
rnacentral:misc_RNA from 1 species